GUGUCAGCCGCCGCGGUAAGACGUAUGGUGCGAACGUUGCUCGGAUUUACUGGGCCUAAAGGGCGCGUAGGCGGUUCGGUAAGUCCGAUGUGAAAUCCCCCGGCUCAACCGGGGAACUGCAUCGGAUACUGCCGGACUAGAGUGCAGGAGGGGAGAGUGGAAUUCCCGGUGGAGCGGUGAAAUGCGUAGAUAUCGGGAGGAACGCCGGUGGCGAAAGCGACUCUCUGGCCUGUUACUGACGCUGAGGCGCGAAAGCUAGGGGAGCGAACGGGAUUAGAUACCCCGGUAGUCCUAGCCCUAAACGAUAGGCACUUGGUAGAGGAGGUUCCGAUGCCUUCUCUGCCGAAGCUAACGUGAUUAGUGCCCCGCCUGGGGAGUAUGCUCGCAAGGGUGAAACUUAAAUGAAUUGGCGGGG
rnacentral:rRNA from 1 species